rnacentral:rRNA from 1 species
UACAGAGGAUCCAAGCGUUAUCCGGAAUGAUUGGGUGAAGUGUCUAUAGUUGGCUUUUUAAGUCCGCUGUUAAAUCCUAGGGUUCAACUCUGGACAAGAAGUGGAAACUACCAAGCUUGAAUAUGGUAGGGGUAGAGGGAAUUUCUGGUGGAACAGUGAAAUGCAUAUAGAUCAGAAAGAACACUAACGGUGAAAGCACUCUGCUGGGCCGACACUGACACUGAGAGACGAAAUCUAGGGGAAAGAAUGGG